rnacentral:lncRNA from 1 species
CAGGAGCAAGCUUGAGUCUUGAAUCAGCACUAGCUUCACUUUUCUGAAAGAUUGACACCUCUUGUGAUUGCUUUCCAAAUAUCUGAAGGUUGUGGACUACAACAAGAAGCCAAUGAAGGAUAAACAACUCAACCGAUAUCUUUUGUUUGACAAAUCUAGUAGGUUUUGGCCACAAAGUCAGGUGAUAUUUCAUCCUUCCAUGUGCUCCCAAAACUUUUACAGACGGAAAUAAUCAAACGAUUGGGACAGUGCAGAUGAUACUAUCAGCAAACUGCAGAUCACAUACUCCCUCAUCAUGAACAACCAUUGAAAGCUGCUUAUAUAAUAUCUGCAUAUGCACACUACACAUGAGCGGCAACUUAGUCUAAUAACUAUUCCGACUCGACCAAUGUCGUUCUUGAGGGGUUCAACACCCAGUCCUACUGUUGGAAUCAGCUCUAUGUACUUCUAAGUAUUUGAUCUCGGAAGGAUUCCAGCAAUAUGUGAUAUAAGUGAAGGAACCUGGGAAGCCUAAGCAUCCUGUUCAUUCCAAUGCAAAGAUCCCCAUCAUCUCCCAAGUACCCAAGAUUGACUCAGCUGCAUGUACCAAAGCUUUGUUUGGAAGCCACACAGCACAAUUAGAGGUGAUCAUGUAAGGCAUCUGCUAUGAGCCUCUCGAUGUCAUCCUACAAAAAUCCUCAAAACUGUUGAAACAUUAAGAUAGUCGGCUGUUAAGGGACCAAACAUGGAGCUUAUCAUUGUCCUCGGAAGAGUAUGUGAUGUAUGAUGCCCUUUCAUCAUUGUCGUCCUUGAAGAUUGUCAAAUCCCCACUCACAACCAUGCAGCCAUGUUAUAGAAGUUUGUGAAAGGUCUUGUGGGGGAGUCACUGAGCGAAACUCCAACUGGGCUUUGGUGGUUAAAGCUAAUCAGCAACGUCUAUGAGCAUCAACAUGACAAGUAAUCAGACUUGCCAUCGUAGAUCACUUCAGGAUAUGUUCAAGGAUGUUGUUAGACUUGUGAAGAUCAUGGGUGAUUUAAUUUCAUCUACUGUGAGCACAAUCCCUUCACUCACCUAUUCCUACAAGCCUUUUAAAAAAUAGCAACCGACUCUAUUAAACAUCACCUGGAGAAAAGUAUAUAAAUCAAUUAAGUUGAACUUUUCCAUACUAGUUGAGAACAAACAUUAAAGCAAGCUGAACUUUUUUGCUUACUGUUUAUGAUGUUUCAAGUGGACUCAGAUAGGGCUUCCAUUAAAGUAUCCGAUAAUGGAGCCUCACCUUAGGCCUCAAGGGUCUGGAUUUCAGUCAUCUCCAUACACUUAUGUCGGCAUCUCUGUAUGCCAACUGCUAUAUUUUUGCCCAUGAAAUAGGCCUGUUGAUUAAAUGACAAAUUGUCUUUCAUGUGUUUGCUUAUUUUAUAUUAGUAGCAUAGAUUACUGUGUGUGUUGCAGAAUGAAGCAACCAAUCUAGGAAACGACAAAUAGUUCAAGGAACAGAUAAUAGUCAUCUAUGUGAUCAGAGAUGAUUAUAAUAUUUUUGAACUUGAGUCUCAUUUUGUUCACAAAACAGAAUUUUGUGGCUUCGUUAUAGAUGCAUGCCCUUUCAUCCCUGAGGUCUUGUAGUACUUGAUGGUAACCAUGGUAUUGAACAAAGUAGUAUCAAUACACACUUCAAAGGACUUCGGAGACAUUAAUUGAGGGCAUUGAUCAGAUGGAUAGACUUAACAUGAUUUUGAUGCUCUAUCUGUAACAAACAUGUCUAUAAUUUGGGCGGAAUGACAAUAAUGCAAAGGAGCUGCCCCUCCAGGAAUAAACAACAGGUGUCAUUGAUCGAUAUCCUCCACAAGAUGUUUGCAAUACAGAAGCUAUCUGGGAAGGUCUUGAUAGGAUCAGCAUGUGCCCAGAAAAAUACAACUUUGACUAUUUGCAUGACAAGAUGAAUUCUUCUGAGGCUUUACGUAAACAUGAGACAUUUCUAGAAAUCAUCAAGGUUCAAGCCUUCAACCUCCAAAAGACCAAAAGGAAAAUACAACAGAAACAUACAGAAUUAAGCAGACAAAUAGCCUCAAUUGAUCAAACAACUAAUAUGUCUUGAAAAAAUCUAUCUUUAAUUUACUUUCAUUAUGAAUAAAGUGUUUCCAUCAACAUGUUGAUGUAUUCGAAUGUGAAAGAUAUAAAUAUGAAUCUAACAUCAAAUACAAAGACAAACUGCAGUGUUAAAGAAACAAAUAGAAGUGUCAAGAACUAAAUAAAAUAUUCUUCCAAUCUUCUCUAACAAUCAAGAAUCAACAUUCCUACUACGCUGCAUUCGGUAAACUUCCGUCUCAACAUCAAUUCAAAAAAAAAUUACCAAUGGAUUUUAAGACAGGCAGCAAAUCUAACAAAGCAUGCAUGUCAAUUGUGGUCCAUAACUGUUCUAAGGUAAGCAAAUUACGAACUAUAGUAUAAACAAAAAGUUCAACUAACCCAUGCAACUCGUUUCCUGUGUGGAAGAAAAGUUGGGGGUUCCCUCCUUAUCAGUAAUGUCUCUUCUUCCUCGUCAUAUACAAGCGCAUCAUGGGCUUGAAUCGGGUUUCCAUCUUUCGGUAACCACAAUCUACUGAAAAUAGAAACGCAUGCUGUCGUUCCCUUCCCUUGUCGGACCUACCGCAGUCUUUGAGUUGGGGAAGAAAGGCAUGCACCUUAGAGAUCCAUCUAAGAAGCCAUCAAUCGCUGCAAGUGGCUCCUUUGGUCCCCUUCGCUUUAGAUCAUACGAAGAAUGCCGGUCUCUUUCUUCCAUCCCUUCCCGUUCUCUGGUAUUCCCCUCAGGUGUUUGUUCGUGAUCCUCGUUGAGAUGGAUGAACACUACAGCAUAGGAUCCGAAUUCGGAGGACCGUCCACUUUUGUCCUUCUUCAAGAUUGGCAUAGAUCUUGGAUGGACGGUCAUCGUCGUCCCCAGAUGGUAUACCAUCAGUUCCCCUCGUUAUUCACCCUUCUGACAACCUGUCCUGUGGUUGGUGCAAAUACGGGGGGCGACAUAUGACGUGUCUCCUCCUGGACGACCAGACAUGUGGGUUCCAGAGUACCAUGAACGUGUUGGGCUCUCACAGACCCCACCUCUGGGCCCCGAUGCUCACUUGCCCAAAGAGUGCCACGUAGGUAUGGGCGGCACGAUAACUCGGGAGUCG